rnacentral:lncRNA from 1 species
GGAUUCCCGGGGGCAGUUAGCAUGUCACCAAUGGCAAGUGAUGCCGUCACUCAUCGUGAUCCUGCAAGUCAAGAAGAUGUGUGUGUGUAUGUGUGUGUAUGUGUGUGUGUGCGUGUAUGUGUGUGUGUGCGUGUAUGUGUGUGUGUGUGUGUGUAUGUGUGUGUGUGUGUGUGUGUGUGUGUGUGUGUGUGUGUGUGUGUGUGUGUGUGUGN